AAAUGCUCCUCUUUCUGUCCCCACUGCUACUGGCUGACUUCAGGCCUCAUGACCUAGGCCCGGUGCUGUCACCUGAGUCUCCCCACCGGCCGGGACGCCUCCUGUCUCUCCUCCCCCAGUGGGUGCCCCACAGGCCAUCGGUUCCGUGUCACACCGCACAUCUGUCCUCGUCAACCCCGGACUGAAAACCCUGCCAAGCACUCUCCUGGUUAAGCCCCAACACCUCCUUGGUGCCCUGGGAGGGCCUUCGAGUGGCCCCAGCUCUCCGUCCUUGUCGCCCAACAUCCUGGGUGCCUGUGCUGUCCCUGCACGCUGCGCGCACGCGCUCUGCGGGUCUCUACCCUUCGGCACGCGCGGUUCCCGCUCCUGGACCCCUGGUUCCUCUUGUCCUGGCAAGCUCCUGUCCUCCUCCCAGGCACAAGUGUAACGUCCCCUUCUCCACCUGCCGCGAGCGUCAGGAGCUCCCGUCCGGGGUUCUGGCAGCGCCCUGUGCCUUCCUGCUGCCUUCCUUCGCUGGGCUCUUCUUCCUGCGCUGGAGCUGCUCUCCAGGAGUCCUGGGAAGACAAGGACAGGCUCUUACUCGUUCCUGGAAGCCCGGCGCCUGACACAGCUGCUGCUGAGGGGACGUUGGCUCGACAGCGCACUGCUUUCUCUUGCAGCGAGCUGGCCUCCUGUCUCCUUGCAGAAGCCCGAGGAAACAGGACUGCCGGCCCCGAGGAGUUUGCCGAGAGAAGGGAACUAAAUCUAAAAGAGUGAGUCCAUCUGUCCUGAUUCUCCAACUGCCUUGCCUUCUUGUUUUGGGGAUUCAGAAUCUGGACGUCAUGGCCCAGUCACUGAAUCGGGAAUUUCUAAGUCCCUUGGAGUCCAAAAGAAAGACCAUUCCAGAUGUCAGAUCAGCUGCAUGAGUCCCUGUCACUCUCCUGAAUAAGCUUCCAGGCAUUACCUACAUGUUGUGUUCCUGUGGAGGGAUGGCAGUAAUCUCUGCUAAGAUAAACCGGAGCUUCUGUGGAUAAAGCGUAAAUGCAGUGAAGUGUGUGGCCGUAAGAUUUAAUGCCUCUACAGAUUCACAAGAGGAUCUUAUUCACAUCUUUAUUGUGAGAAUUUGGUGGAUUUCCUGAAAUUUGGGGGGUGCCCCUGUGCCUUCAGUCCUCAGAAGUUUCUCACUCUUACAGUAGUCCACAUUCUUCCUCCAGCAAUUUGUCAAAAUAACCAGUUUUGGUGUUCCUACCAGUUUAUGAUUCCAGAGCCUUCUUUUCCAGUGGUAUUUACAAGAAUAUACACAUGUACCAUUGAAGGAAACUGGGUAAAGGGUACACAGAACUUCUCUGUAUCACCUUUUCAACUUCAUGUGAAUCUACAACUAUAUCAACAUAAUAGUUUUUUAAAAUAGUAGCUUUACAGUGGAGAAAACUGGAAGAAAUCUCCUUAACCAAGUCAUCAAGGCUGACAUCACCAGUAUGUCAUAUUGAUACCAUGUACUUCCUGAUACUAUGUGAUGAGAAAGGCACUUCACUUCUGUGCUAUCCUUUCCCAAGAUACAUAAUCCCAAUUUAAUCAUGAGAAAACAUCAGACAAACCUGAACUGGGGGACAUUCUACAAAGUACGUGACAAUCUUUAAAAUUGUCAAGGUUGUGAAACACAAGAAAACAUUGAGAAAUUGCCAUAAAUUGGAGACAACUAGGAAGUUAGGAUGACUAAAUGCAGCAUAAUAUUCUGGAUUCAAUCCUGGAACAGAAAAAGGACAUUAGUGGAAAGAUUUGUGAGGCACAUCAUACAAAAUAACUGCUCAGUGCUCUUCAAGAUCAUGAAAGAUGUGGAAGGACUGAUAAACUGUCAUACAUUGGAGGAAACUAGAGAUAUGACAAGUAAAUGCAACAUGGUAUCCUGAAUUUGAUCCUGGAACAGAAAGUGGACAUUACUGGAGAAACUAGUGAAAUCCAAAUAAAAUCUAUAGUUUAGUUAAUAGUAUUGUACGUAGGUUAAUUUCUUAGUUUUGAUAACUGCACUAUGGUUAUGUAAAAUUUUGACCUGAGAAAUGCUAAAUGAAAUGUGUGUGGCAGCUGUCUGUGCUGUUUUU